rnacentral:rRNA from 1 species
UGGGGAAUAUUGGACAAUGGGGGGAACCCUGAUCCAGCGACGCCGCGUGAGGGAAGAAGGCUUUCGGGUUGUAAACUUCUUUUCUCAGGGACGAAGAAAGUGACGGUACCUGAGGAAUAAGCCCCGGCUAACUACGUGCCAGCAGCCGCGGUAAUACGUAGGGGGCAAGCGUUAUCCGGAUUUACUGGGUGUAAAGGGUGCGCAGGUGGCAGGGCAAGUCAGAUGUGAAAGCCCGGGGCUCAACCCCGGUAUUGCAUUUGAAACUGUCCGGCUAGAGUGCAGGAGAGGUAAGCGGAAUUCCUAGUGUAGCGGUGAAAUGCGUAGAUAUUAGGAGGAACACCAGUGGCGAAGGCGGCUUACUGGACUGUAACUGACACUGAGGCACGAAAGCGUGGGGAGCAAACAGG